CGGCCAGCCGGGCGUGUGGAGGGGAGCGGUCUCGGUGCUGCUGUUUCCGCCGAGCCCCUCAGGCGAGGACAACGAAAAGUCAUUGGGAAGACAUGAGGUGGGAUGGAAAGGCACAGCCUCCGCCGCUGAGAAAUACAGUUGAUGGUUCUUUGCAGGCCCAGACAUCUCUUCAUCAGCUUAUAUUCCAGCGCUCUGGAAAAAGAAUUGCUGUUUCCCAGGAGAAAAUGAAAACCCUUUUAAAUUUGGUGCUGGUAAAGACCCUGAAGACCCCCUGCAUGUAAGAGACAAACGUGUAUGUUGCAAUUGUUAUUAUAGAAAAAUAUUAGAAAAUAAAAAUCAGU